AACCCUAGUCAAUAGACCUACGGCGUAAAACGUGUUUAAGGAACAGCCCCAUAAAGUCAAACUUUAGCUACGCUGUAAAAAGCCACAGCUACUGUAAGCCCUGACGCGAAAGUAACUUUAAAGUACCUGAACACACGACAGCUAAGACCCAAACUGGGAUUAGAUACCCCACUAUGCUUAGCCCUAAACCUAAAAAGCCCCUCCAACAAGGCUCUUCGCCAGAGUACUACUAGCCAAAGCUUAAAACUCAAGGGACUUGGCGGUGCUUCACAUCCCCCUAGAGGAGCCUGUUCUAUAAUCGAUAAGCCCCGAUAAACCUCACCAACCCUUGCCAACU
rnacentral:rRNA from 1 species